rnacentral:rRNA from 1 species
AGAGUUUGAUCCUGGCUCAGGAUGAACGCUAGCGACAGGCUUAACACAUGCAAGUCGAGGGGCAGCGGGGGAGUAGCAAUACUCCCGCCGGCGACCGGCGCACGGGUGAGUAACACGUAUGAAACCUGCCCGUAGCAGGGGGAUAAGCGGAAGAAAUUCCGUCUAAUACCGCGUAACAACCCUUGGAGGCAUCUCCUCGGGUUUAAAGGGAGCGAUUCCGGCUACGGAUGGUCAUGCGUCGCAUUAGCUUGUUGGCGGGGUAACGGCCCACCAAGGCGACGAUGCGUAGGGGUUCUGAGAGGAAGGUCCCCCCACACUGGUACUGAGACACGGACCAGACUCCUACGGGAGGCAGCAGUGAGGAAUAUUGGUCAAUGGCCGCAGGGCUGAACCAGCCAAGUCGCGUGAGGGAUGACGGUCCUAUGGAUUGUAAACCUCUUUUGUCAGGGAGCAAAGGGCGCCACGUGUGGCGUUUUGCGAGUACCUGAAGAAAAAGCAUCGGCUAACUCCGUGCCAGCAGCCGCGGUAAUACGGAGGAUGCGAGCGUUAUCCGGAUUUAUUGGGUUUAAAUGGUGCGCAAGCGGAAUGUCAAGUCAGCGGUAAAAUUUCGGGGCUC